rnacentral:rRNA from 1 species
AUGUUGGUCCCGUGGGGAGGGGUCGGGUGCUGCCUCAGCGCCGCGGCGCUGUAUCUCCUCGGGAGGAGCAGCGGGAGGGACGCGGAGGUGCUGCGAUCGGUGGCGAGGACCGGCAGCCUGAAGGAUUUGGCUGCUAUCUUGGACACUGCAAGUAAAGUCCUGCCACUUGUAGUGGCGGUUUCUGGGCGAGUUAGUUCAGAUACACCACUUAUAUGCCAACAAAGUGGUAUGAGAGGUGUAAUAGUCGAGGAAACGGCAGAGCAACACUUCCUGAAGCACAAUGAUGCUGGAUCCUGGAUUCAAGAUUCUGCUGUGAUGCUUUCUGUUAGCAAAGAGGUUCCAUGGUACCUGGAUGAUGGCACUGGGCGUGUCUAUAUUGUUGGCGCUCGUUCUGCGGCAGGGUUAAUUUUAACUGUUGCCAGUGAGGUUUUUGAGGAGUCAGGGCGGACUCUUGUACGUGGAACUCUGGAUUAUUUACAAGGACUGAAGAUGCUCGGAGUAAAGCGAACUGAAAGGGUUCUUCCAACUGGAACUUCAUUGACUGUUGUUGGUGAGGCCAUUAAAGAUGAUGUUGGAACUAUUCGGAUUCAGCGGCCACACAAAGGACCAUUUUAUGCAUCUCCAAAAAGCAUCGAUCAACUUAUCUUGAAUCUCGGGAAAUGGGCCAAGUUAUACCAACUUGCUUCCAUGGGCUUUGCAGCUUUUGGUGUAUUUCUUCUUGCUAAGCGUGCACUUGAUCAUUUUCUACAAAGAAAGCGCCAGCGUGAAUUUCACAAGAAGGCUCGUGCUGCUGCAGCACAAAGGCAGGCUAGGGACGCUGAAGGAGGCAAUGGCACAUCAGACGGAGAGCCUAAGAAGGAUCAAUUGGUAUUAGAAAUAUGUGUCAUAUGCCUUGAACAGGAGUAUAAUGCAGUUUUUGUGCCGUGUGGCCACAUGUGUUGCUGUAUGAACUGCUCUUCUCACGUAACAAACUGUCCACUCUGCCGACGAAGAAUAGACCAAGCUGUCAGAACAUUCCGUCACUGA